GCUGUUGGGGGAUCCGGGAAAGGGCAUUUGGGCUCGUGGAGUAGAUAUGUGCAUGGAUGAGUGGGGGGUCUGAGACUUCAGCGCUGGUCGGAAAUGAGAAUUGGUGAUUGUAAAGAGAACAAAGAGAUGUCACUGAAGAUAGACAUCUGGAGUGGAAAAUGAGGAUUUGGGCAGGGCUGUGAAGGAGAAUGGGUAAUUUAUGAGAGGGCGAAGUGGGAUUCCUUGGAGCGGAGUGUUCGGGGUUUUUGGAAGUUAUGCUAGAGUCGCUGGGUUUCGGUGAAGUGGGGACGAGGCUUACAAGUGCGUCUGAACACACGGGCCAGUGGAGCGGAGGAAAGAAACCGAGGGAGCCCGCCGGUGGGCGUGCGCUCGGUGCUGGGAACUCCGCGGAGGAAGAGAUGUCAGGAGAAAGUGUGGUGAGCUCAGCGGUGCCAGCAGCUGCAACCCGCACCACUUCGUUCAAGGGCACGAGCCCCAGUUCCAAGUACGUGAAGCUGAACGUGGGUGGAGCCCUGUACUACACCACCAUGCAGACGCUGACCAAGCAGGACACCAUGCUGAAGGCCAUGUUCAGCGGGCGCAUGGAGGUGCUCACGGAUAGUGAAGGCUGGAUCCUCAUUGACCGGUGUGGGAAGCACUUUGGUACCAUACUCAACUACCUUCGUGACGGGGCGGUCCCCUUGCCUGAGAGCCGCCGGGAGAUCGAGGAGCUGCUGGCAGAAGCCAAGUACUACCUGGUCCAGGGCCUGGUGGAAGAGUGCCAGGCAGCCCUGCAACAGAACAAAGAUACUUAUGAGCCUUUCUGCAAAGUUCCUGUCAUCACCUCAUCCAAGGAAGAACAGAAACUUAUAGCGACUUCAAAUAAGCCAGCCGUGAAGUUGCUCUACAACAGAAGUAACAACAAAUACUCGUAUACCAGCAAUUCUGACGACAAUAUGUUGAAGAACAUCGAACUGUUUGAUAAGCUAUCGCUGCGCUUUAAUGGAAGGGUCCUGUUCAUAAAGGAUGUCAUUGGGGACGAAAUCUGCUGCUGGUCCUUCUACGGCCAGGGCCGCAAGAUCGCUGAAGUCUGCUGUACCUCUAUCGUCUACGCCACCGAGAAGAAACAGACCAAGGUGGAGUUCCCUGAAGCCCGGAUCUAUGAGGAGACCCUGAAUAUUUUGCUGUAUGAGGCCCAGGAUGGCCGGGGACCCGACAACGCACUCCUGGAGGCCACGGGUGGGGCGGCCGGACGCUCCCACCACCUGGACGAGGACGAGGAGCGGGAGCGGGAGCGGAUCGAGCGCGUGCGGCGGAUCCACAUCAAGCGCCCGGACGACCGGGCCCACCUCCACCAGUGAGCGGGCAGGGGCCCCGCCUGCACCCCGCCCGCCCUGCUCCUCCCCGCUGUGCACUCAGAUUCCCCGAGAGCUCCCGGGCCUCCCGCUGCCCCCGCGUCCGGAGAGACUGCAUAAAAAGCCAGAUGACGAUUUUGGUAUUUCUCGACCAGGUGAAUGGAUUGUCUUUACCCAGGUGAACACACCUCUGCCAGUGAACAAGCUGGGUCCAAGGUCUCUGCUUUCCUGAGAAUCCGAGAAGCACUGGAGCCAGGCUUUCCUGGUUCUGGAGGAAGAGGAUGAGUGGGUGUGGUGUGUGUGUGAGAACUUGUCUGCGGUAUUUAUUUCUGUGGGUGUUGACUGCCUCUUUGAGCUUCUUGGGCCGCCUUUCCUCCACGGUUCAGUUUGUCAACUCCGAAACGGGUCCUGUAGUCGGUGUCUGCGAGCUCAGUGUUUCCUAACUCCACCCCAGCACCCUGGCCCCAUUCCCGUGCCCGGCACAGGCUCCACGGCUUUGCGAACAGCCCGUCCUGCCUCGGGCAUCGAUCCUGGAGCUUGUUGGUGAAGGACCACAGCUCUUAGCAGUGGAGAUACCACCUGGGGGUUCCUGCCUCUCAGCCGCUGUUCCUAGUGUGGCUCUGGAUGCCCAGCUCCGUUGAAGGGUUGCCCCUUCUGCUGAUCUGUGGUCUGGUGCUUGUUGGGACCCUGCAGGGUCUGGCCGAGAGCAGAGCUGCCCCUUCCUCUGCCCUCCUUGUUGACCCACUCCAUUCCGGGAAGGCUGCCUGGCCUGCUUAUGGGCAUAGCGUACAAACCACUGCGCGGUGGGCUCCAUUCCUUCCUCUUUGGCCUUAUGCCCCGUUAAGCGGGGCUUACUGCCCCCAGCGGAUGCCCUGCCCUUUGCUUAGAAGAAAUUAAACAUGGCCCCAGACUCUUUUCUGGCGUCCAGACAGGACCACUGCUCACACCAGCAGCCUCAGGACGGUUCACCUGCUGUCGGCGCAGCCGUCGCCUGGAGAUCCCUUCCUGUCUCUGAUCCUUACACGGUGUGGAGUGGCCAUCGGUGAGCAGACGGAGAGGACGUGCAGAUCCUUUUGGGUCCGGUCAGUGUGCAUGUUCAUGUUUGUUUAAGGGACGUGUGCGAUUGUGGAUGAGGAUGUGUGCCCAUGGCGCCUGGGUGGCCCGCGCUGGAGCCCUGCUGUCUGCACGGCGCUCGUGUGGGACGGACGUUCUCGGUUACCUACCUCCCCGUCUCCGCGCCCGCCCGUGACGCACAGAGGGAGUGGUGACAAAUGUGGGUGGUUGAGACUAGGCUGGUAGAGUAGUUCCAAGGAGAUUCGGAUGUGUGUAAGGUAUGGAUGGGUUUUGUCUGCUAUUCAAGGGAAACAUUACCAUUUUAUACCAAAGGUAUUAACACGGGCAGCCUUUGAUACAGUGCAUUCGAACAAAACGAGUUUAUAUUUUGAAAUGGUUUUUACAGCUUAGACUUUGUACACCCUGCCCUACUUGUGACAGUUGUAUGCCUUUAUUUUGUAUCCAGCAGCAAAGCCUACAAUAAAACUUUAAAACAAUCAUGACCCAACCUAAAAAUCAUGUAUCGGGUAGAUGCUUUUUAAACUGUUGUGUGGGAAACUUUCAUAUUAGGCCACUUGGAUUUUAUUAAGUGCUAAGGAUGGGAGGGGAGGGGGCUUAAAUAAUGUUUUGUAAAUAUUUUAUACUGUUUAAGUUUUAAACACCAACCCUGCUGUUUGGGUUGAACUUUUUUAGAAAGUUAAAGUGAAUGUCAGUUCUGAUGUUUUCUAUAGGAAUGGAAAAGCCAUCAUGUAAGUUCUGUUUUUCAAAUGUUUACGUGAAGAGUAACUAACUUUGUGGAACAGUCUGAUUAGUUGGGGCUUCUACACCUUAUGACCAAAUGUUUCUGGCCCUCUUUCUACUUUCACGUUUCCUUCAACUUUGCACUUGUAGUUUGGAGUCUUUGCUUCCCUGGGAUAUGAACAAGUUCAUGAAGCAUUCCAUGAAAUGCCCAGCACAGUCCAGCCACUGAACUGAAGUGCAGUUCACAGGAAAGAGAGCAGAGAUCCCACCUUCUACUUCACCACCUAAAGGUUGCUGCUCAGGGUGGAAAAGAUGAGUCAUUUUUCCGUAGUGUUUGAACUCAAACACUGGAAGGAAGUCUUGGGUGGAAAUGCCGCUGGGCUUGUGAAACAGCGGUCGGCUGCUGUUGCCUCCGACUGCAGGUUUGGGGUGGGGAGAGCUACACCUCACCAUGUGGAGCCUAAAGCCGUGCAGGAACUGGGUAUGUUUCUGAGUUCCAUUUAUUUAAAGCAAAAUUCAGAUUUUGCAGCUUUAUGCUCUCAGACCACGUACAAUACUUCAUUGUGCCCCAGGGGCAGCAUGACAAAGAGAAUCUGUCAUCCCCCCAUACUGACAUGUUCAAGUGCCCGUCAAGUGUAGGUCCUAUUGGGGAUGUUUAAAAUCACCCCCUUGGGUGACUUGAGGUUGGCUCCCUAAAGAGAACAUGUAGUGCGACGGAACACCUGAGGGUUUGGCCUUUGGCAUAAGAUGCCACUCUGCUUCUUCAGGGACGAUCCUUUUCCUAGAGCUGCUGGAACCUUUGCUUGAAGGUGUCGCUAACUGGACCAAAUUCGAGCUUUCCUCAGUUGCAGCAGAAACGGUGAUGGGAGAGAUCACACGUCAUCCUCCAUCAGGACUUCCUGCGGACCGACACCUGGGGAAGGUACACGCUGAGGUUCAGAGGUCUCCCCUCUCACUCAGGAGGAGGCAGUGAGCGGUGCAGCCGCCUGCAUGGUUGAGGGGGACGUGGACAAGCUGCGAGCAGCCAAGCCCCGUCACCCACACCGUCUCCUGCCCCACCUCCCGUGAGACAAGCCACAUCCAGAAAUGGGCUCACUGAGGCCUCAGCUUCCGCCUGAGCCAGCCAGGGAGGAAUGGGGGUAAGUUUUAAGACAGCAUGUAAACUGAAAAGUCACCUUAUACUUUACAUUAAAAAUCAUGCUUCAGUAUUUUAACUUGUCCCCAAAGGAGUUACCUGUUUUCAGGGGCAAUUAUGUGUCUUUGUCCACAAAACAAUUUCAUCGUUAAAUGUGUAUGAGACAGUCCAUGUUAGACCAUUUUUUAGUUUGUAUAUAUAUACCAAGUAUUCAUAAUUUGCUACAAACCAUGUUUUAAAGAUUCAGCCCCGUCAGCUUUCAGUGUGUCAUUUGCCAGCAGAAUUGGAUCAGACUUGCUAGCGAGGGCAAAGCCCCGAGCACUCAGGCUUGACUUCCUAAGUCAACCUUGACUAACCUCUCCUCCUCAGUCCUGGGAUCCUUGUUUUCCAGAGCCCAGGCCUCACCCCCAGCCAGUUACGUCAUGGUGUUGGGGAGCGGGUCGGGGGAGACACACACACUGGUAUUUUUCGAAGCUGGUCGGGAGUUUCCCCUGUGGAGGCUCACUUGAGAACCACGUGAUAGGGAGUGAGGCCUUUGGCAUCCAGUGAAGAGGGGCUUUGACGUUUAUAGUGUGAAAAGUUUAACGUCAGCUUCUGGUUCACUGACAAAUGUGAGUAAACUGUUCUCCUUUUCAGUCCGUGUUUGAAUCUGCACCUCUAGUACCCAUUCCUUCCUAUUUUUCAACGCAGAAUCAGGGACAGAGGGAGAAAUAAACUAGACUAUGAUUCUGGUCAAUCUACAGGAGGACUGAAAUUGGCAGAAUCUUAACCUAUAGUCUUACUUAAAACUGCUUACACCUCCCCCUCCCCAGACACGGCCACUCACCACUGUUAACUGUCCGUUUUUAUCUUUAUAGAUUUGUUCUUCUGGUCCGGUGUCAAAAACUAUUGUGCCUUCUUUUCCAGGACUAAUAUAAAACUGUAAACUUAAAAUACACAAAGUGAUAAAUUACUGGCAUACUCUAUUUUUUCCUUCAGCUGUGGGCCUGCAAAAGAAAUUCACCUGUGACGCUUACUAGUUUUGAGAUCAAAUUCCUGUUUCAUUACAGAGUUUUAUUGUAUAUUUGAGUAAUCGAAAGAAAACCGUUUCUGCAGCUGGGAAAAUGGCCACGCCUUCCUGUAGUUAUUUUCAAAUCGGUUUAGCACAGUUCUUCCACAGGCAUCAACAGCAGAGGUGUGGCUGGCACCUGCUCUCCCCCAGGGUGGGUCCCCCUUUCACUGGGUGACAAAUUCCCUUAGGACCAUAAGCACCUCCUUUGAAAACUAGAUGGUGAGACCACUGUUCAUUCCCUUUGGUGAAUAAGUGAUCACUGACUUCAUUUCUGUGGAGCCCAAGUCCUAGGGGGUGAGGAGGGAAGAAAGCUGGUGAUCGGAGGGGGCAAGGGUACCCCCACCCCUUGUGGGUAGGCAGUUCUUACUUUGCGGGGAGGGGCAGGCCUGGGUGAAACGAUUAACAUUUGUGUCUUCCUUGAUCUGUUAAUAGACACUUAACAUUGAAUGACUUCCUGAGUACAGACGAAACCACCUACCUUCCUUGAACAACAUUUACAAUGUUCUCCUUCUUAGCCAGCAUGACGAGUUUGGUAACUGCCUCAAAUAUGUGUUUGCACUGUAAGACGGCAUCCCCCUGCGGCAGAGAGGAGAGAACACGGCCGGUUCAGUGGUAGCGGCUUCACAGAAGAACAUCACUGAGGUUUCACUGGGGGCAGCUAAAGAUUUUGGCAGUGUUUCCCUCUGUUAGCAGCCCUGUGGCCGUAGGUUACCUUUUGCCUGUUGCCUUCUGGCGAAACGUGAAUGACUAACAUUCCGUCGCUGAAGCUGCUGGUAGAGACACCUUAGGACAGAUCCAAAGUUAGAGGCCAAGAACUGGACAACUUGACAUUAAUACAGAAAAAAGGCAUGCCUGGGGUGUCCCCAACCCCAGGCUUUUUCCCUCCUAGCUGGGCCAAGUGGGGUGGCCCUGCAAUCAGCACCUGUGCUCGGAAUAAAAAGCUGGUCCCUGUCAAAGGUGACUAGUGUCCGACCCGGAUGCCCGAGUGAGAUGCCGUUGGCGUUUGUGCCAGAAUAAGAGGCACAGCCCGGGCCGCCCUGGGUUUUGUGGGCAUCUUCACUUAGGUCUUUCCGUGAAAGGCUGCUGCAUUGCUGGUGUGCCCGGGAGCUGAGUCAACCCAGUGAAUUUUCUGAAGAUUGCCUGCUGCUUACCUUUGAGCGCAGGGUACUCUAUUUUCUGCUUGAUUUUGGCAAGUUCCACCACGUAAGCUGCUUUCUGAGUGAGAAUGAGUUGCCUCUGCCGUGUCUUGAAGCCUUUCCUGUCGUAUUUAAUGACCGGGAUACCGUACUGCAAGGAGGUGACCGUCACUACGAGGCGACGCUUGCUUCGCGGGGGAGGGCGGCAGCGUACCGAGUGCCUUGUUACUCGGCCUCUGGAAACGUUGCUUCGAGCCCCCGAACGGAGAGGGGCUCAAACAGAUCUUGCAUAAAUGAGUUUUCCCUGAACCCUGGCUCUCUGCCUGAAAGGCUGUGAUUCCUGGCUCUGCCUGUGACGUUGACCUUCUGAGGUAUUCAAGGCCACAGCCACUUGCCUCACGGGGCUGCUCUGAAAGGUCAGCAGAGAUGAAGACACUCUGCAGGCGUUAAGAGCCCUGACAGCCAGAGGGUGAUCCAACCUAGUCACAGGUUUCUAGUCCCCAGGGACCAAAGUGACCAAGCAGCCACCGGAGCCAGUCACCAGCUGCCGCAUGCCAGGCCGCAGCCUGUGCCCUUCACACCAUCAACCCCUCCGUCCUCCCCAUUCACAGAAGGAUGGAGGCACCGAAGGCGCAGCCUUUGUACAUGGCUUGGAUUCUCGCAACUUAAAAGAAAACAAAACUUUUGGUGAAACGGCUUUCAGUUGUGCAGCUUGGUAGGUGUGACUUUCGGAGGAGGUGUCGGCUAUGGCCCUAGGGGCACGCAGGGUAGAGGUGACAGGAAGCCACGGGAUAUGACGGGAUAGAAACGAGAGUGGGCGGGUUACGUUCAGCCUGAGUGCCAGAGCUGGCCAGUAACUGGGGCUCCCUUUCUUCCUCUUGCCUUCCCCCAGCUAAGGAACAGAACCACUAUCUGGAGGGCUUGCUGGCCCCUGGUUCUAGGCAUUGUAUUUCAUCCUCCCACCCAACCCUGCAAGGCAGGCAGGCAGGCAUCAGCACAUUUGACAAAGCGGAUCACAGACCCAGCCGGUGAAGACCCUUGCCAGGUGCGAGGCAACCACGCGGCUAUGAAGCAGGAGUGUGAACCCAGGGCUGUGGAACCACACACAUGCUGUGUAGCUUCUGCAUUCACAGUGUGCCCCCUCCACCCAGUGACUGGGGUCCCCCCACAGACCAGGCUCCUCGAGGGUCCCGCACACCAGCAGCAUCACAUCCCCUGGGAGCUGGGUAGAAACGUUAACCCAGGCCCCCGCAUUCAGCACCUGCCCAUGAACCUGAUCCUGGGUGAUCAGUGCCCGCUGCCGGAGGGGUCAAAAACAGACCACCAACAACAGUGGUUAUGAGCCCAGGCCCUGAAGCCAGACACACACUCAAACCCCCGCUCUGCUGCUGUUGGGCCUCAACAUCCUCACGUGUAAAGUGGACAUGAUAAUACCACUCGUCCACAGGUUUGUUCCGAGAAUACAAUGAGAUCAUGAAUACAGCAAGCACUGAGAUUACUCAAGCACAGCUGGUCUCAGCAGGCCAGGUGAGAUCUCAGAGGGGAAGCCCCUACCCCCUGGUCGUUUUGAUUUGUGAUUUUUUGCGUUUUCCUCCCGUCUAAGUUUUCUUAUUUACCAUUCACAACAAACACCCUGGCUGUGGGCUUUGCAGCUACACCUUCCGACAUCAGACACAUACAAAUGAAGUUUAAAAAAAACCCUUCAUUUAAGGGGGAUGGACUCCAUGGGUUUAGGUCCUAGUGUGGCACGACAAAGUUGGAUCCAAACUAAAAAUGAGGCAGAACUGCAGUGUUUAAGUUUCCAGGUGCAUCCAUGACAGCCCUCCAAACAUAAGGGAUAAAUUCACCUGUGUCUUAUAAUCCUGUUGCCUUGUUCUGGGUUAAGGCAUAAGUUCACCUGUAUCUUAUAAUCCUGUUACCUCGUUCUGGGUUUCCAAAGCCAGUGCUUCUACCAUUAUAUCAAACACUCAUGUUUAAGAUGUUUCCCAAGCUAAGCUUGUUCAUAUCACAUUCUGUUAAAAUCAGGGCAGGAAAAAAAA